rnacentral:rRNA from 1 species
GAUGAACGCUGGCGGCGUGCUUAACACAUGCAAGUCGAACGGAAGGCCCAAGCUUGCUUGGGUACUCGAGUGGCGAACGGGUGAGUAACACGUGGGUGAUCUGCCCUGCACUUCGGGAUAAGCCUGGGAAACUGGGUCUAAUACUGGAUAGGACCACUUCUUGGAUGGUGUGGUGGAAAGUUUUUUCGGUGUGGGAUGAGCUCGCGGCCUAUCAGCUUGUUGGUGGGGUAAUGGCCUACCAAGGCGUCGACGGGUAGCCGGCCUGAGAGGGUGUACGGCCACAUUGGGACUGAGAUACGGCCCAGACUCCUACGGGAGGCAGCAGUGGGGAAUAUUGCACAAUGGGCGCAAGCCUGAUGCAGCGACGCCGCGUGGGGGAUGACGGCCUUCGGGUUGUAAACUCCUUUCGCUAGGGACGAAGCGUUUUUGUGACGGUACCUGGAGAAGAAGCACCGGCUAACUACGUG